GGGAGGCAAAACCGCGAGGUGGAGCAAAUCCCUAAAAGCCAUCCCAGUUCGGAUCGCAGGCUGCAACCCGCCUGCGUGAAGUUGGAAUCGCUAGUAAUCGCGGAUCAGCAUGCCGCGGUGAAUACGUUCCCGGGCCUUGUACACACCGCCCGUCACACCAUGAGAGUCGGGAACACCCGAAGUCCGUAGCCUAACCGGUAAGGGGGGCGCGGCCGAAGGUGGGUUCGAUAAUUGGGUGAAGUCGUAACAAGGUAUC
rnacentral:rRNA from 1 species